GUGGGUGUGGCUCAGUGGCAGAGCUGUUACUUUGCAUACACAGGGCCCUGGGUUUGAUUCCCAGCAUCCCCC
rnacentral:tRNA from 1 species